rnacentral:rRNA from 1 species
CCUANGGGAGGCAGCAGUGAGGAAUUUUGCGCAAUGGGGGAAACCCUGACGCAGCAACGCCGCGUGAGUGAUGAAGGCCUUCGGGUCGUAAAGCUCUGUCAAGUGGGAAGAACCCGGUUGAUUAUAAUACAAUUAACCGCUGACGGUACCACUGAAGGAAGCACCGGCUAACUCCGUGCCAGCAGCCGCGGUAAUACGGAGGGUGCAAGCGUUAUUCGGAAUCAUUGGGCGUAAAGGGCGCGUAGGCGGUUUUUUAAGUCAGAUGUGAAAGCCCGGGGCUUAACCCCGGAAGUGCAUUUGAAACUGAAAGACUUGAGUAUGGGAGAGGGAAGUGGAAUUCCUGGUGUAGAGGUGAAAUUCGUAGAUAUCAGGAGGAACACCGGUGGCGAAGGCGACUUCCUGGACCAAUACUGACGCUGAGGCGCGAAGGCGUGGGUAGCAAACAGGAUUAGAUACCCCANUANUC